rnacentral:miRNA from 1 species
UUUGAUCUAACGUACAGAGACUA